rnacentral:tRNA from 1 species
GGGCGGAUGGCGAAACUGGCAGACGCGCUAGCCUUAGGAGCUAGUGGGGUAACCCAUGGGGGUUCAACUCCCCCUCCGCCCA